ACUGCCCCUAUCCUGGCAAAUCACGAAAGAAAAGCCAACUCAUACAAACAGACCAGACUAGCCAUCACCAAUGCCACGACCGGCGACACAAUAUUUUCGGAGCUGGACUUCGUCGUGACGGUAGUGGCCGUGGUGGUGGGAGUGGUGGGGGUCGCGGUGGUGGUCGAAGGCGGCGAUGGGGUGGUGGUGGUGGCGGCAGGGGAGCCCCCGGAGGUCGGAGGCGUGGCGGUUGGUGACGACCCGGCUUUCACGCUGACGGCGAGCUUCAUGCCGCUGCUGCAGUGGCCGGCUGCCCCGCAGAUGAAGUAGUGGGUCGCGGCGGUCUUGAGGGGAAUGGUGGUGGCACCGCUGCUGUCGGUGCUGAUGACGUUCGCGGCGGUGCACGCGUCGUAGUCGCUCUUGCUCACCUCGUCCACGGUGUGGCCUCCUCCGUAGUUGAACACUGUCG
rnacentral:lncRNA from 1 species